rnacentral:rRNA from 1 species
GACGAACGCUGGCGGCGUGCUUAACACAUGCGAGUCGAACGGAAAGGCCCCUUUGGGGGUACUCGAGUGGCGAACGGGUGAGUAACACGUGAGUAACCUGCCCUUGACUUCGGGAUAACUUCAGGAAACUGGGGCUAAUACCGGAUAGGAAUCCUUGCUGCAUGGUGGGGGUUGGAAAGCUUCGGCGGUUUUUGAUGGACUCGCGGCUUAUCAGCUUGUUGGUGGGGUAGUGGCUUACCAAGGCUUUGACGGGUAGCCGGCCUGAGAGGGCGACCGGCCACAUUGGGACUGAGAUACGGCCCAGACUCCUACGGGAGGCAGCAGUGGGGAAUAUUGCACAAUGGGCGGAAGCCUGAUGCAGCAACGCCGCGUGCGGGAUGACGGCCUUCGGGUUGUAAACCGCUUUCAGCAGGAGCGAAGCUUGUGGUGACGGUACCUGCAGAAGAAGCACCGGCUAACUACGUG